UACGAAGGGGGCUAGCGUUGCUCGGAAUCACUGGGCGUAAAGCGCACGUAGGCGGAUCUUUAAGUCAGGGGUGAAAUCCCAAGGCUCAACCUUGGAACUGCCUUUGAUACUGGGGAUCUCGAGUCCGGAAGAGGUGAGUGGAACUGCGAGUGUAGAGGUGAAAUUCGUAGAUAUUCGCAAGAACACCAGUGGCGAAGGUGGCUCACUGGUCCGGUACUGACGCUGAGGUGCGAAAGCGUGGGGAGCAAACAGG
rnacentral:rRNA from 1 species